AUUGAACGCUGGCGGUAUGCUUAACACAUGCAAGUCGAACGGUAACAGAUUAAACAAUCCCUUCGGGGUGCGUUUGAUGCUGACGAGUGGCGGACGGGUGAGUAAUAUAUAGGAAUCUACCUUAGAGUGGGGGAUAACCUGGGGAAACUCGGGCUAAUACCGCAUAUUCUCUAUGGAGUAAAGGGGGCCUCUGCUUGCAAGCUCUCGCUCUAAGAUGAGGCUAUAUCGGAUUAGCUAGUAGGUUGGGUAAUGGCUGACCUAGGCAACGAUCCGUAGCUGGUCUGAGAGGAUGGCCAGCCACACUGGGACUGAGACACGGCCCAGACUCCUACGGGAGGCAGCAGUGGGGAAUAUUGGACAAUGGGCGAAAGCCUGAUCCAGCAAUACCGCGUGUGUGAAGAAGGCUUUCGGGUCGUAAAGCACUUUUAGCAAAGAAGAAAUGCCUAAGGUUAAUACCCUUGGGAGAUGACGUUAUUUGCAGAAAAAGCACCGGCUAACUCUGUGCCAGCCGCCGCCGUAA
rnacentral:rRNA from 1 species